UGCAGAUGAGAGGAGGGGAACAAAAUCCCUAGGGGCUGGAGGGAUCCGAUCGGGCCUGGCCAUAUCUCCAUCUCUCUUCUCCCCCACCACUUCUUCCACCUCAGGCCGCUGCCACGGCCAGGCCGGCGUGGUGGUGCGCCUCUGCAGCCCAGCCACCACCAUCUCCAUCCAUCUCCGCUGCGCCACCAUCCACAUCAGCGCCGCUGCGCCACCCAUCACCAGCACCAACACCCAGCGCCACCCAGCACCUCCACACGCUCCACACCGCCGCCAUCCAUCACCACCGCACCACUGAACACCUCCGCGCAAGAGUUUCCCUGCUGCCGUCCUUCUUCCCUUGCCUCUGCUGCUGCUCUUGCUUGCGCCCCUGUGCUGCUGCCUUUCUUCUCCCCUUGCUACUGCUCCCCUUUUCUAGCGCCUCAACCUGCUGCUCCUUCGCCUGCUGCUAGUCCCUUUCCCCACUCCUCUGCUGCUCCUCCUCUUAAAACUGCUGCUGCUCUUCUUUCCCACGUUCCUGCUCUGCACUCUGCUUCUCACCUCCGUUGCUGCUGUUUCUCUUCUGAACCUCUGCUACUGUUCAGCUCUGAACCUCUGCAUCUGUGUUGAAUGUGCUUUCAGUGUUCUUGAGAUGUGUAAACUGUUCAAUAUUCAGCUUACAAUUUGUAAAACUUUUGUGAUUCAGUGGUGUCUCUAUGUUAUACAUAUAGCUUGUGUACUGCUUGCUGCAGUAAAUUUCAGUUUGUAAGUUCCUGUGAUAGCUCCAGUACAUGUGACUUUUAUGUUGUCUCAAGUUCCUGUUAUAUAUAUACAUAUGUGUGUGUCUGUGAUGUGAUACAUUUAUGUUCUGUCCUACAACCUUAUUGUGUUAGCAUUUUAUUUCUCAUGUAAAACGAAAAUACCAAAAAUAUUAUUGAAGAUAAUCUGAACCUCCUUUGACCUUUUUGCAUUUUCUUUGGUGACGAUCUUUGGGUACAACCUUGUUUAGUGUAGGUUUUUUUUCUUGCAUUCAUAAUCUGAAUUGUGUUACCUAGCUUUAGCCAAGCACCGUCAUCGAUUUGCCUAGUCCCUGAUGAGAACACGACACUCGUAGUUUGGGGCGUAAAAACCCAGCUAUAUUACAAUUGAUCAUUUUGGCGCCGUUGCCGGGGACUAGCGUCGAGCGAUUGUGCGAAGCUAUAGACUAGGCUUAGUAUAGUUUUUGUUUAAAUUUCCAGUCAAAUUUAUUUCUGUGCUUCUUUUACCUUUUUACUUUUUGUUGCUUCGGCUUAUUAGGAUACUAACCCUCUCACCAAUGUUUCAUGUUUGUGAGCGUGUGUAGGAUAUCUUAUUAUUUGUAGGCUGAUUGACAGUUGCACCUGAACAUAUGGCUUUAGUACAUGAUCUUUGGUUGCCAAGUAGUUUGGACACGAUGACAGGGCCAAUUUGGCCAUCUAUUGAGGCCAAAAUUUUUGAGUUGAGGCCUGGACUUAUUGCUCUCGUCUUGCAGAAUCAGUUUAGAGGAUUACCCAAUGAAGACCCUCAUGAGCACAUUAGUAAUGUUCUGGAGUAUGCCAAUACAGUCCAGUAUCAUGGCGUUUCCCAAGAUACUAUCAAGUGUAUGUUGUUCACAUUCUCUCUCAGAGAUGCUGCUAAGGACUGGUACUAUUCUUUGCCAUCAAGAUCAUACACUUGGGGUGAUAUUUCACAAGCUUUCCUGCAUAGAUAUUUUCCACUUUACAAGCAAGCUGCAAUUCGUGACCAGAUCCUCAGUUUUGCGCAAGAUGGUAGUGAGAGCUUGUAUGCAGCUUGGGAGAGAUAUAAGUAUUUGCUUAGAAAAUGUCCUAAUCAUGGGCAAAAGGAUUGGUUAGUGCUUCAGAUAUUCUAUAGAGGGCUGACACAUGCUUCAAGAGAUCUUAUUGAUAUGUCAGCUGGUGGAACAAUCAUGAACAAGACCGUCGAGGGUGCAAUUAUUCUCAUUGAGAGCAUUGCCUUCCACCAAAUGCAAUGGGGUUAUGAAAGGCCUAGUUCAAAUCCGAAGGUUGCAAGCCUCGUGCAAUCAGAAGUUGUGUGUUCCAUAAGUGAACAGAAAUCAUCCAUGGUGCCUAAUAUUCAAAACCAGCAUGUUUCAUUCCGGGGACAACAACAUUUCAGAACUGAAUUAGAUCCUCCAUAUAGAACGAUUGAUCUUACUUCAAUUAUCCUUGAUGAUGAUUAUGAUAUUUUUCAAGAUGAUGAAACUACUGUAGAUCAGAUGGAAACCACAGUAGCAGAUCCAAUACCUCAUGGCAAUGAAACUGUCCAGAAUGAGUCAAAGCUGAAAGAAGAUGUUUAUGAGGAACCUACUCUGAUUGAUGCUAAGUUGAGACAACAAGAUAUGGAGAAAUUCACUUGUGUUAGUCAACUAUGUGACUGGUGGAAUUUAGUCGUGUCACCAAUUGCCCACACUUGUGUUACAACGGUAUCUGGGCUAUUUGUCAAGAAGAAAUCAUUAGCUCCACCGGUGGUUGCCUCUAUCACAGUUAAAGAGAGUAUCUCAGAGAAGAAUAGUGAAGAUGAGAUUCCAACUCCUGCACAUACAACUAAGCAAGUCGGAGCCAUUCCAAGGAGAGAGAUACAAGAGGUUGAGUCAAAUUUAGAAGAGUUGAUACUUCAAUAUCCUGAGAAGAUCCCACGUGUUGCUGAGCUGCAUGACUGGUGGAAGUCAUCAGUGUCACUGUUGAGACUUAGUAGUGAUGGUGAUGAGGAGAACAUUGCUCAGAAAGACAGCGAGGUAGUGAUCUCAACACCCCUACCAGAUCAUGUUAGUGAAUAUUCACAUAUGGGGACACUUCAGACUCAAUUAAGUGUUGCUGGUAGUAGCACCAUAGAAGAUCCAGAGGAAGAGAGUCCUCAACUUGAAGAAGAUUUACAAGAAGACAAGGAACAAGAUGAUCAAGAGCUGCAAUUUCCAAGUGAUCAAGUUGAAGACUCAUCAUCUACUACUCCUGAAGAAGUACAAGAAGCUGUUGUAGAUGAAGAUGAAGAACCUGAGAUUCAUUGGCCUAUUGUCAUACAUGAGCGCGAUGUGUCAGGUUUACCCAAUCCUCUUGAUGACAUGCUCCCUUGUGAUUUCUUUGCUUCUAACUUGCAUUGCAUGAUGCCAUCACUUAAGGUAGAUUUGAAAAACUAUUUGCUUGGACAUGAUCAUACACACCCUGUUAGUGGCAUUACUCUCAUUUGUGAUGAUCACAGUUACUUUCCUCGUGCUAGUUCUAUGCUUAAUGAAACAUAUCAUUCCCAUGUUAGUCUUGAGCUUAAUGAUAAAUAUCAUCCUCAUGUUAGCAUUGAGCUUACUGAUUUGUACCAUCCUAAACAUGUGCUUUAUAGCUAUGCUUAUGUAAUUGGGUACUCUAUAGAUGAUUUAGAGGGCAUUACCCUUGUCACUUGUAUUGUUUCCUUGGUUGAGUGCUCUUUCAGGUUGUUGCUUGUGCACGAUCCACUACAUGCUGACCAAGUCCGAGAUGACAUUCCCUGGGACCCCGGUGGACCCAUGGCAUGGGGAUGAGGAGAAGCAAGGAGCACACAUGAAGAGAGAAGCUGGAGCAGGCAUGAGGAUAGAGAAGCAAAAAGAGAAGAGCUGCAGCUUAGAGAGUCAUCAAGCGAGUGCUACUUCAUAGUGCCCGGUUAGCUGUUUCAUGACCCAUUCUGAGUAUAUCAUCCAUUGAUGCUUGCUGAAUUAAAUUGCUAUUUGGGUUGCUUGUGCCAUUUCUUAAAUGUUGUCCCACUGAAUUUCACCUUUGACAUGUGGUGCUUGAUGAGAAUAUGCGAACUAAUUGUUGAAUGCCUUGUAACUAGUGAUCUACACCCUGUUUGCUCUGCUAAAAGUAGUGAAAGCUAUUAGUUCUGAGUGCUCAAAUCCCUAGUACACUAGAAAACUAAAUCAUUUUCUGCAUUUACUAUGAUACACCUAGAUCACCAUGUUUAGAUGCUGAAUUUGUGCCAAGUGUGUUCCCAUUGAGAGCAAUCACCUAACUACUAUGGAAUAUCAUGCUAUGUUCCCUGGAUCGGUAGCAUGUGAACCAGACAUGGAGAAGUGAUGAUUCCUAUUUUUGUGCUUAUGCAUUGUUCAUUUAAGAUAAGUAAUAAUGAAUAAAUUAGUCUGACUACCUACAGUAGCAUGUCAUGUUCUUGGGAUCGGUGGCAUGUGAAAUCGGGUUAGCUUGGGCAGUAAUUAUUAUAAAAAUGUAAUUGUCGAACCAGGUGUAUACCAUGUUCUCGGGAUCGGUGGUAUGUUCCUUUGGGGAGACAAACAAGAAAACUAUAUAAUUGGUCAAGCCGGGUGUAUACCAUGUUCUCGGGAUCGGUGGUAUGUUCCUUUGGUGAGAUCAAUAAAAUAUUAUCAUUACUUCCUUCAAAUUCAAUAAGUGGUUCAACCACAAAGUUAUAUUUCUGCAAAUAAGAGAUUUAAUUCCAGUUCUUUUUGUUCUCGGGAUCAUGCUCUCUUUAGGAAUCAUUUGGCGCAAUCAUCAUUUAAACUUGUUGGUCCUCUUUUAUCAUUGUAAAAGUUUAAAAUGGUCAUGCUUACCAGUAUCCUACUGCUUUGUAGCACUCUUAACCAUCAAUUUUCACUAGCUAAGUCCAAAAGCAUGCAUUGUUUAGAGAUCUACUUCACUUGGACAUUCUUUACUCAGUUCACUGUUCACAUUCUUGCUCUUGUCAUAUGCCUUUGCUUGAGGACAAGCAAAGAUUUAAGUGUGGGGGAACUUGAUAAGUAUAUUUCACAUAUAUAAUUUUGGUACUCAAAUAUAGCUUCUAUCGUGACAUAUUCGUCCAUUCUUGCCAUGAUUGNNNNNNNNNNNNNNNNNNNNNNNNNNNNNNNNNNCAUUACUUCCUUCAAAUUCAAUAAGUGGUUCAACAACAAAGUUAUAUUUCUGCAAAUAAGAGAUUUAAUUCCAGUUCUUUUUGUUCUCGGGAUCAUGCUCUCUUUAGGAAUCAUUUGGCGCAAUCAUCAUUUAAACUUGUUGGUCCUCUUUUAUCAUUGUAAAAGUUUAAAAUGGUCAUGCUUACCAGUAUCCUACUGCUUUGUAGCACUCUUAACCAUCAAUUUUCACUAGCUAAGUCCAAAAGCAUGCAUUGUUUAGAGAUCUACUUCACUUGGACAUUCUUUACUCAGUUCACUGUUCACAUUCUUGCUCUUGUCAUAUGCCUUUGCUUGAGGACAAGCAAAGAUUUAAGUGUGGGGGAACUUGAUAAGUAUAUUUCACAUAUAUAAUUUUGGUACUCAAAUAUAGCUUCUAUCGUGACAUAUUCGUCCAUUCUUGCCAUGAUUGAUUGAAUAUUGCUUGAUAAUCAUCAAAAAGGAUCAUUUACUAGUCUUUGGUCUAUCUUGCAGAAAUGUGCACAAAGGCACUAAUAAUCGUCAAGAUUCCGUCUAUGUGGCUAUCGAGAAGAGUGAAGAAGAGAAGAGAAGGAAGAAGAGACUUGUGUGAGAUGAAGAGAAGUAACCAGGGGGCUAGGUAAAGAAGUGGGAGGACCUUCUUGUGAAGAAAGAAGAGAAGAAAGAGGGCCAAAUCACAAAGUGCAGAUGAGAGGAGGGGAACAAAAUCCCUAGGCACUGGAGGGAUCCGAUCGGGCCUGGCCAUAUCUCCAUCUCUCUUCUCCCCCACCAGUUCUUCCACCUUAGGCCGCUGUCUCGGCCAGGCCGGCGUGGUGGUGCGCCUCUGCAGCCCAGCCACCACCAUCUCCAUCCAUCUCCGCUGCGCCACCAUCCACAUCAGCGCCCUGCGCCAUCCAUCACCAGCACCAACACCCAGCGCCACCCAGCACCUCCACACGCUCCACACCGCCGCCAUCCAUCACCACCGCACCACUGAACACCUCAGCGCGAGAGUUUCCCUGUUGCCGUCCUUCUUCCCUUGCCUCUGCUGCUGCUCUUGCUUGCGCCCCUGUGCUGCUGCCUUUCUUCUCCCCUUGCUACUGCUCCCCUUUUCUAGCGCCUCAACCUGCUGCUCCUUCUCCUCCGCCUGCUGCUAGUCCCUUUCCCACGCCUCUGCUGCUCCUCCUCUUAAAACUGCUGCUGCUCUUCUUUCCCACGUUCCUGCUAUGAACUCUGCUUCUCACCUCCGUUGCUGCUGUUUCUCUUCUGAACCUCUGCUACUGUUCAGCUCUGAACCUCUGCAUCUGUGUUGAAUGUUCUUUCAGUGUUCUUGAGAUGUGUAAAACUGUUCAAUAUUCAGCUUACAAUUUGUGAAACUUUUGUGAUUCAGUGGUGUCUCUAUGUUAUACAUAUAGCUUGUGUACUGCUUGCUGCAGUAAAUUUCAGUUUGUAAGUUCCUGUGAUAGCUCCAGUACAUGUGACUUUUAUGUUGUCUCAAGUUCCUGUUAUAUAUAUACAUAUGUGUGUGUCUGUGAUGUGAUACAUUUAUGUUCUAUCCUACAACCUUAUUGUGUUAGCAUUUUAUUUCUCAUGUAAAACGAAAAUACCAAAAAUAUUAUUGAAGAUAAUCUGAACCUCCUUUGCCCUUUUUGCAUUUUCUUUGGUGACGAUCUUUGGGUACAACCUUGUUUAGUGUAGGUUUAUUUUCUUGCAUUCAUAAUCUGAAUUGUGUUACCUAGCUUUAGCCAAGCACCGUCAUUGAUUUUCCUAGUCCCUCAUGAGAACACGACACUCGUAGUUUGGGGCGUAAAAACCCCGCUAUAUUACAAUUGAUCAUUUUGGCGCCGUUGCCGAUGACUAGCGUCGAGCGAUUGUGCGAAGCUAUAGACUAGGCUUAGUAUAGUUUUUGUUUAAAUUUCCAGUCAAAUUUAUUUCUGUGUUUCUUUUACCUUUUUACUUUUUGUUGCCUCGGCUUAUUAGGAUAGUAACCCUCUCACCAAUGUUUCAUGUUUGUGAGCGUGUGUAGGAUAUCUUAUUAUUUGUAGGCUGAUUGACAGUUGCACUUGAACAUAUGGCUUUAGUACGUGAUCUUUGGUUGCCAAGUAGUUUGGACACGAUGACAGGGCCAAUUUGGCCAUCUAUUGAGGCCAAAAAUUUUGAGUUGAGGCCUGGACUUAUUGCUCUCGUCUUGCAGAAUCAGUUUAGAGGAUUACCCAAUGAAGACCCUCAUGAGCACAUUAGUAAUGUUCUGGAGUAUGCCAAUACAGUCCAGUAUCAUGGCGUUUCCCAAGAUGCUAUCAAGUGUAUGUUGUUCACAUUCUCUCUCAGAGAUGCUGCUAAGGACUGGUACUAUUCUUUGCCAUCAAGAUCAUACACUUGGGGUGAUAUUUCACAAGCUUUCCUGCAUAGAUAUUUUCCACUUUACAAGCAAGCUGCAAUUCGUGACCAGAUCCUCAGUUUUGCGCAAGAUGGUAGUGAGAGCUUGUAUGCAGCUUGGGAGAGAUAUAAGUAUUUGCUUAGAAAAUGUCCUAAUCAUGGGCAAAAGGAUUGGUUAGUGCUUCAGAUAUUCUAUAGAGGGCUGACACAUGCUUCAAGAGAUCUUAUUGAUAUGUCAGCUGGUGGAACAAUCAUGAACAAGACCGUCGAGGGUGCAAUUAUUCUCAUUGAGAGCAUUGCCUUCCACCAAAUGCAAUGGGGUUAUGAAAGGCCUAGUUCAAAUCCGAAGGUUGCAAGCCUCGUGCAAUCAGAAGUUGUGUGUUCCAUAAGUGAACAGAAAUCAUCCAUGGUGCCUAAUAUUCAAAACCAGCAUGUUUCAUUCCGGGGACAACAACAUUUCAGAACUGAAUUAGAUCCUCCAUAUAGAACGAUUGAUCUUACUUCAAUUAUCCUUGACGAUGAUUAUGAUAUUUUUCAAGAUGAUGAAACUACUGUAGAUCAGAUGGAAACCACAGUAGCAGAUCCAAUACCUCAUGGCAAUGAAACUGUCCAGAAUGAGUCAAAGCUGCAAGAAGAUGUUUAUGAGGAACCUACUCUGAUUGAUGCUAAGUUGAGACAGCAAGAUAUGGAGAAAUUCACUUGUGUUAGUCAACUAUGUGACUGGUGGAAUUUAGUCGUGUCACCAAUUGCCCACACUUGUGUUACAACGGUAUCUGGGCUAUUUGUCAAGAAGAAAUCAUUAGCUCCACCGGUGGUUGCCUCUAUCACAGUUAAAGAGAGUAUCUCAGAGAAGAAUAGUGAAGAUGAGAUUCCAACUCCUGCACAUACAACUAAGCAAGUCGGAGCCAUUGCAAGGAGAGAGAUACAAGAGGUUGAAUCAAAUUUAGAAGAGUUGAUACUUCAAUAUCCUGAGAAUAUCCCACGUGUUGCUGAGCUGCAUGACUGGUGGAAGUCAUCAGUGUCACUGUUGAGACUUAGUAGUGAUGGUGAUGAGGAGAACAUUGCUCAGAAAGACAGCGAGGUAGUGAUCUCAGCACCCCUACCAGAUCAUGUUAGUGAAUAUUCACAUAUGGGGACACUUCAGACUCAAUUAAGUGUUGCUGGUAGUAGCACCAUAGAAGAUCCAGAGGAAGAGAGUCCUCAACUUGAAGAAGAUUUACAAGAAGACAAGGAACAAGAUGAUCAAGAGCUGCAAUUUCCAAGUGAUCAAGUUAAAGACUCAUCAUCUACUACUCCUGAAGAAGUACAAGAAGCUGCAGUAGAUGAAUAUGAAGAACCUGAUAUUCAUUGGCCUAUUGUCAUACAUGAGCGCGAUGUGUCAGGUUUACCCAAUCCUCUUGAUGACAUGAUCCCUUGUGAUUUCUUUGCUUCUAACUUGCAUUGCAUGAUGCCAUCACUUAAGGUAGAUUUGAAAAACCAUUUGCUUGGACAUGAUCAUACACACCCUGUUAGUGGCAUUACUCUCAUUUGUGAUGAUCACAAUUACUUUCCUCGUGCUACUUCUAUGCUUAAUGAAACAUAUCAUUCCCAUGUUAGUCUUGAGCUUAAUGAUAAAUAUCAUCCUCAUGUUAGCAUUGAGCUUACUGAUUUGUACCGUCCUAAACAUGUGCUUUAUAGCUAUGCUUAUGUAAUUGGGUACUCUAUAGAUGAUUUAGAGGGCAUUACCCUUGUCACUUGUAUUGUUUCCUUGGUUGAGUGCUCUUUCAGGUUGUUGCUUGUGCAUGAUCCACUACAUGCUGACCAAGUUCGAGAUGACAUUCCCUGGGACCCCGGUGGACCCAUGGCAUGGGGAUGAGGAGAAGCAAGGAGCACACAUGAAGAGAGAAGCUGGAGCAGGCAUGAGGAUAGAGAAGCAAAAAGAGAAGAGCUGCAGCUUAGAGAGUGAUCAAGCGAGUGCUACUUCAUAGUGCCCGGUUAGCUGUUUCAUGACCCAUUCUGAGUAUAUCAUCCAUUGAUGCUUGCUGAAUUAAAUUGCUAUUUGGGUUGCUUGUGCCAUUUCUUAAAUGUUGUCCCACUGAAUUUCACCUUUGACAUAUGGUGCUUGAUGAGAAUAUGCGAACUAAUUGUUGAAUGCCUUGUAACUAGUGAUCUACACCCUGUUUGCUCUGCUGAAAGUAGUGAAAGCUAUUAGUUCUAAGUGCUCAAAUCCCUAGUACACUAGAAAACUAAAUCAUUUUCUGCAUUUACUAUGAUACACCUAGAUCACCAUGUUUAGAUGCUGAAUUUGUGCCAAGUGUGUUCCCAUUGAGAGCAAUCACCUAACCACUAUGGAAUAGCAUGCUAUGUUCCCUGGAUCGGUAGCAUGUGAACCAGACAUGGAGAAGUGAUGAUUCCUGUUUUUGUGCUUAUGCAUUGUUCAUUUAAGAUAAGUAAUAAUGAAUAAAUUAGUCUGACUACCUACAGUAGCAUGUCAUGUUCUUGGGAUCGGUGGCAUGUGAAAUCGGGUUAGCUUGGGCAGUAAUUAUUAUAAAAAUGUAAUUGUCGAACCAGGUGUAUACCAUGUUCUCGGGAUCGGUGGUAUGUUCCUUUGGGGAGACAAACAAGAAAACUAUAUAAUUGGUCGAGCCGGGUGUAUACCAUGUUCUCGGGAUCGGUGGUAUGUUCCUUUGGUGAGAUCAAUAAAAUAUUAUCAUUACUUCCUUCAAAUUCAAUAAGUGGUUCAACCACAAAGUUAUAUUUCUGCAAAUAAGAAAUUUAAUUCCAGUUCUUUUUGUUCUCGGGAUCAUGCUCUCUUUAGGAAUCAUUUGGCGCAAUCAUCAUUUAAACUUGUUGGUCCUCUUUUAUCAUUGUAAAAGUUUAAAAUGGUCAUGCUUACCAGUAUCCUACUGCUUUGUAGCACUCUUAACCAUCAAUUUUCACUAGCUAAGUCCAAAAGCAUGCAUUGUUUAGAGAUCUACUUCACUUGGACAUUCUUUACUCAGUUCACUGUUCACAUUCUUGCUCUUGUCAUAUGCCUUUGCUUGAGGACAAGCAAAGAUUUAAGUGUGGGGGAACUUGAUAAGUAUAUUUCACAUAUAUAAUUUUGGUACUCAAAUAUAGCUUCUAUCGUGACAUAUUCGUCCAUUCUUGCCAUGAUUGAUUGAAUAUUGCUGGAUAAUCAUCAAAAAGGAUCAUUUACUAGUCUUUGGUCUAUCUUGCAGAAAUGUGCACAAAGGCACUAAUAAUCGUCAAGAUUCCGUCUAUGUGGCUAUCGAGAAGAGUGAAGAAGAGAAAAGAAGGAAGAAGAGACUUGUGUGAGAUCAAGAGAAGUAACCAGGAGGCUAGGUAAAGAAGUGGGAGGACCUUCUUGUGAAGAAAGAAGAGAAGAAAGAGGGCCAAAUCACAAAGUGCAGAUGAGAGGAGGGGAACAAAAUCCCUAGGCGCUGGAGGGAUCCGAUCGGGCCUGGCCAUAUCUCCAUCUCUCUUCUCCCCCACCAGUUCUUCCACCUCAGGCCGCUGCCACGGCCAGGCCGGCGUGGUGGAUCGCCUCUGCAGCCCAGCCACCACCAUCUCCAUCCAUCUCUGCUGCGCCACCAUCCACAUCAGCACCGCUGCGCCAUCCAUCACCAGCACCAACACCCAGCGCCACCUAGCACCUCCAAACGCUCCACACCGCCGCCAUCCAUCACCACCGCACCACUGAACACCUCUGUGCGAGAGUUUCCCUGCUGCCGUCCUUCUUCCCAUGCCUCUGCUGCUGCUCUUGCUUGCGCCCCUGUGCUGCUGCCUUUCUUCUCCCCUUGCUACUGCUCCCCUUUUCUAGCGCCUCAACCUGCUGCUCCUUCUCCUUGGCCUGCUGCUAGUCCCUUUCCCCACGCCUCUGCUG
rnacentral:lncRNA from 1 species